rnacentral:misc_RNA from 1 species
UUGUAACCCAUUGAUUUGUAAUUUUCCUUCCCCCUUCCGAAUCUUAAUCUUAAUCCUAUUUGCUCACUUCCAUCGUCAAGUCCCAGUCUGCCAGAAAAUUCAGAUCCAUGGCCGUUUGCUCGAGGAUGCAAAGAGAAGAACCAAACAACUAGAUCUAAGAUCCAAAAUUAGAUUUGGGAUAAAAAAAAAGGAAGAGAAAUAACCAGAUCUAGAUCCCACAAUGGUUGUUGGGCGGUGGUCAUUGAUGGCAAAGGGGUGAAUUGAGAACGUUUAAGGUCGCACCCACAUUAGCAAUGAAACCCUGGCUCACUGCUUUGGGAUUUCAAAAUUGUUUUUGUGCCUCUCUAAUUGCAUUCUUUAUGUUUUGA